rnacentral:rRNA from 1 species
CCGCCGGGCCUACCAUGCAAGUCGAACGGUAACAUUUCUAGCUUGCUAGAAGAUGACGAGUGGCGGACGGGUGAGUAAUGCUUGGGAACUUGCCUUUGCGAGGGGGAUAACAGUUGGAAACGACUGCUAAUACCGCAUAAUGUCUUCGGACCAAACGGGGCUUCGGCUCCGGCGCAAAGAGAGGCCCAAGUGAGAUUAGCUAGUUGGUAAGGUAACGGCUUACCAAGGCGACGAUCUCUAGCUGUUCUGAGAGGAAGAUCAGCCACACUGGGACUGAGACACGGCCCAGACUCCUACGGGAGGCAGCAGUGGGGAAUAUUGCACAAUGGGGGAAACCCUGAUGCAGCCAUGCCGCGUGUGUGAAGAAGGCCUUCGGGUUGUAAAGCACUUUCAGUUGUGAGGAAAAGUUAGUAGUUAAUACCUGCUAGCCGUGACGUUAACAACAGAAGAAGCACCGGCUAACUCCGUGCCAGCAGCCGCGGUAAUACGGAGGGUGCGAGCGUUAAUCGGAAUUACUGGGCGUAAAGCGCACGCAGGCGGUUUGUUAAGCUAGAUGUGAAAGCCCCGGGCUCAACCUGGGAUGGUCAUUUAGAACUGGCAGACUAGAGUCUUGGAGAGGGGAGUGGAAUUCCAGGUGUAGCGGUGAAAUGCGUAGAUAUCUGGAGGAACAUCAGUGGCGAAGGCGACUCCCUGGCCAAAGACUGACGCUCAUGUGCGAAAGUGUGGGUAGCGAACAGGAUUAGAUACCCUGGUAGUCCACACCGUAAACGCUGUCUACUACUGUGUGUGUCUUUAGACGGGGUAGCGAAGCUAACUGCUCAGUAAACUGCCUGGGGAGUAGGCCGACGUUAAACUCAAAUAACU